GAAAUGUUUGCAGACUGACGCCGAAGCUUCCUGUUUACUGCUGGACAGGCACUAUGGGUUGGCAUUAUUCACCAUGUCUGUGACAUUCACACCCGCCAUAUCAGAAGUAUUGCAGACCAAGUCAGGAGAGGUCUAGAAGCAGUUUUCCCUGCGGCUGCUGCUCUACACACAGCUCCUGGAGCAGAUGAGGAACAGCAGUGCCAGUGAAUCAUGGGUGUUGUUCCUGCGAUGAGCGCA